UACGGGGGGGGCAAGCGUUGUUCGGAAUUACUGGGCGUAAAGGGCUCGUAGGCGGCCAACUAAGUCAGACGUGAAAUCCCUCGGCUUAACCGGGGAACUGCGUCUGAUACUGGAUGGCUUGAGAUUGGGAGAGGGAUGCGGAAUUCCAGGUGUAGCGGUGAAAUGCGUAGAUAUCGAGAGGAACACCUGCGGCGAAGGCGGGUUGCUGGGCUGACACUGACGCUGAGGCGCGAAAGCCAGGGGAGCAAACGGG
rnacentral:rRNA from 1 species